rnacentral:sRNA from 1 species
CAUUUCAAGCCCACGGUGCAGACAUUCAGUAGGAUCCAGACAGCCUCUGCUCUAGAAGGCUCAGCAGAGAAGGACUUUCUGCAGGGCGACUGCACCAAAGCGAAACAGAAGCUGAACUGGAAGCCCCGGGUCGCUUUCGAUGAGCUGGUGAGGGAGAUGGUGCACGCCGACGUGGAGCUCAUGAGGACAAACCCCAAUGCCUGAGCGCGCCUCGGAGCCCGGCCCGCCCUCCGGCUACAAUCCCCGUAGAGUCUCCGGUGCAGACGCGCUGUGGGGAUGGGGAGGGGCGUGCCAAUCUGCGGGUCCCCUGCGGCCCCUGCUGCCGCUGCGCUGUCCCGGCCGCAAGAGCGGGGCCGCCCCGCCGAGGUUUGUAGCAGCCGGGAUGUGACCCUCCAGGGUUUGGGUCGCUUUGCUUUUGUCGAAGCCUCCUCUGAAUGGCUUUGUGAAAUCAAGAUGUUUUAAUCACAUUCACUUUACUUGAAAUUAUGUUGUUACACAACAAAUUGUGGGGCCUUCAAAUUGUUUUUCUCUUUUCAUAUUAAAAAUGGUCUUUCUGUGAACUAGCA